CUGCAGGUCAUACCGUGCUCAUAGACAGCUACUGUUUUCCAGUCCUCCAUCCUUCUGCUGGGAACUUGGAUGCUAGAGCUCUUGCAGUCACACUGGGCCAUGAAGAUAAAGGUCACCCCCUAGGAAUGAUAGAGCAGAAAGCUGGAAGGAACCUGGGUCCCUGAUCUCUGUGGAGCCACUGAACUGCCUCUAAUGAAGGAAAACAUUUCUCUCAUUUAUGCUGCAUGUUCUUUUCGAUUUUAUGUUAUAUUUAGUGGAGUAUAAUCCUAAUUUGAUACAAUUGCCAACUUUUAAAAAUCAGGAAAUUUCACACAAAUAUUCAGCUCUCUGGCUUUUCUCUUGAAAAUUUGGUACAUCUGACAAAACAUGAAGUCAUGCUUCCCAUUGCAGCAACUGACCUGGGCAGGAUAAUGGAUGCCUGCUUCAGACAGGGAUGGAGACCUCACCAAUUUUUUUUCCUUCAUUUUAAUUGGGAAGUGGGGCAAGAUGGAAAAAUUGUGGAUGCCAACUUUGUAACUUUGUCUUUCUCCCUGCAUCAUUUUUAGCAAGAACAUUUCGACACUGGUGUAGUCCACAAGGGAAGAUACUGAGAGAGGAGAAAGGAAGAAACCUUUCAGGCAUCAGUUAGGGUGGGUCCUUGGUUAAAUUCUUUCAAACAAAAGAACAGCCUGAAAAAUCAAGCUGCAGGCACAGAUAAGGGGAUCUGCACAGGUGGCCUUGACUAAGACAUUCCCACAGCCACACAGAUAUGAAAGCCUACCCAGAUGACUUGCCCAGAUACUUCUGCAGUGGAAAAUUCCAUCCCCUGACACAUGCGCAGUAAGGGGAAAAAAGCAAUAUGGAAUAAAACUUAAGCUAAGGGCCCACAUGCACACUAGAAGGAUGAGGUGGAGCUACCAGAAAUUCAUGCCUUAUGCAAAUGAGAUGCCCAGCCCUCACCGGUUCUUAUAAAAGCCUUUGCAGUCACCUGUAAAAGCAGCAACCCUCCUCCAGGUCCCCUCUCCACUGUGGAGAGCUUUCUUCUUUUGCUUAUUAAACUUUCGCUGCAACUUCAUCCUUUGCAUCCACGCUCCUUAAUUUUCUUGGUCAUGAGACGAAGAACUCCAGGUGAUACCUCACCUGCUACAUUAUGGAGAGACUGCUACAUUAUGGUGCACUGGUGAAAAUAUAACAUUUCUGAUGGUGGUGGAAGCAGAGGCCAUCCUUUGCUGUUUCAUGCCCAAUUCUGUAGGCCUGCCUCAGAGAGAAGGGGAGCACAGGUCUCAGCAUCCACAGACUUUUCAUGGCGGUGAAGCUCUACUAUCAACACUUGGAAAGAGGGAAUCAGAGGGUCUUCUACUCCAUGGCUGCAACUUUUUCUCAUUUUAAAGAUCCUCCUCUAGUCUAAUGGAUUUAUAUUUCUCUGGCUGACGUAAUUUUGACCCUACUUCUUGGUAAUACCCGAGCCUUAAUUUGAUGAAAGAGUAUCACUCCCACCUAAUUUCCAA
rnacentral:lncRNA from 1 species